rnacentral:lncRNA from 1 species
CCUGCUCUAUUGCUCUGUCCAUGCUACUACACAGCUCCCCUUCUGGUGUCUUGUGCAUCACCUUUCCUGCACUUCUAGGCAGGAUCGCUUCUUCCAGUGUCAUGUCUUCUUCCUGUUGGUUCCCAAGAAGUCUUGAGCUGGUCUCCACGAUAGUAUCUGGUGCUGGUAUCCCCUCCUUGGUGGUCAAGCUAUCUCUGUGUGCACCACCAUCCUGUUCCAGUGGGACUAGCUUUUCCAGCGUGCCCAUUGGUGUGUCCACAAGUCCUGCGAGGAGUUUGCAAGUGUGUUGAGCCCUGAUCAUCAUCUCCCUUGUUCCCUGCACAACCUCUUUGUGGAGAUCCAUGGC